rnacentral:rRNA from 2 species
CCUGAUCCAGCAAUGCCGCGUGUGUGAAGAAGGCCUUCGGGUUGUAAAGCACUUUUGUCCGGAAAGAAAUCCUUGGCUCUAAUACAGCCGGGGGAUGACGGUACCGGAAGAAUAAGCACCGGCUAACUACGUGCCAGCAGCCGCGGUAAUACGUAGGGUGCGAGCGUUAAUCGGAAUUACUGGGCGUAAAGCGUGCGCAGGCGGUUUGCUAAGACCGAUGUGAAAUCCCCGGGCUCAACCUGGGAACUGCAUUGGUGACUGGCAGGCUAGAGUAUGGCAGAGGGGGGUAGAAUUCCACGUGUAGCAGUGAAAUGCGUAGAGAUGUGGAGGAAUACCGAUGGCGAAGGCAGCCCCCUGGGCCAAUACUGACGCUCAUGCACGAAAGCGUGGGGAGCAAACAGGAUUAGAUACCCUGGUAGUCCACGCCCUAAACGAUGUCAACUAGUUGUUGGGGAUUCAUUUCCUUAGUAACGUAGCUAACGCGUGAAGUUGACCGCCUGGGGAGUACGGUCGCAAGAUUAAAACUCAAAGGAAUUGACGGGGACCCGCACAAGCGGUGGAUGAUGUGGAUUAAUUCGAUGCAACGCGAAAAACCUUACCUACCCUUGACAUGGUCGGAAUCCUGCUGAGAGG